rnacentral:lncRNA from 10 species
CACGACCCGUGUGGCUAUCCCCAAGCACCUGAGGACUGCAGAGCAGAGAGGCUCGGAGCAGGCGGGACCCUGGCCCCUGAGAGAGGGGCCUGGCUUCCACAGCAGGCGCCCUGGCUCAUUUGUGGCCAAAGCCCUCUGCCACCCCAUCUUUGUCUGUGUGUCUAGUUCAUCAGGUUGUGGGGCUGAGACUCCCAUCUCCACUCUCAGAAAUGCCACCAUCUCCUGCACGUUCUCUCAAGGACUUCAGGAUAUGCUGUUGCCACCUCAUAUGCAAAAACUGAGCUUCAGAAGCAUUCAGGGACCUGCCCAAAUCACACAGCAAGUUAGUCCAAGUGGUGAUCCAUGAGUCUAGGACUUGGACUUGGGAGCCUUGAGUUCAGGACUUUCACUGUCCUCAGGGCUGUGAUGCUCUGCUGUUUGGGAUUGUCACUCAUGUUAAUUCUCUGUGCUCCAACUGCUCUCUGAGGUCUUGAGGAAUUGAGAGUAUCAAAUAGGAGAAAUAUAGCUUUGUGCAAUUUUGGAAUCUCAGAUACCCACCCACUGACCUUAAUACCUGCAUGUGGUAGAGGGAGGUGGUGGGCCCUGCAGACACCUUUUGGGAGGAAACACCAUAGCCUGAGGCCUGUGAUAGGUUAAAGUUGUCAUGCCUCCCACGGAGAGGUGGGUCUAUGUCCCACUCAAGAAGAGGGUUCCUCUUGAGUCUGGGCUGGCCUGUGACUAAUUUGACCACUGACUAUGGUGGAAUUGAUGUUGUGCCAGUUUCCAGGCCUAGACCUUAUAAGACUGGGAGCUUCCACUUCCUCUUUCUUGGAAGAAUUGCUUGGGGCAGGGAGGUGGGGGUGGGGAGCCAUUGCUAUGCAUGAAACUGCCAUAUUGUGGGGAAGCCCAAGCUAGCCACAUGGAAAGGUUGUGUAGAAAGAGUGAUGACUGGUGGGUCCCAGCUGCUCCAGCCACCCCAGCCCAGAACCUGACAUGAGGGUGGGGAAGCCAUCCUGGACAUUCCAGUUCCAGGAGACAUGACAUGGAUGGCAACCUAGGAACUGCCAACCACCAGAACCAAAGCCCCAGACAGAGGUCCUGUUAAACCAUCCCAGACAUAUGCAGUCAUUAAGAUAUCCCCAGAAGAAGCAUCUUGGAGUGGAACCAAACCAUUCUCAUGGUGCCCUGCCCAAAUUCCUAGUCUAAAAAACAGUAAGCAUAAUAAAGGGUUGUUUUACACCACUGAGUUUUGGGGUGGUUGGUUCUGCAACAACAGCGAAUUAAAACAAGGGGUGAUGGGAAGAAUCACAGGUUGUGGCCCCGGGGUUGGCUGGGGGAUCCUUGAGGAAGUACAUGUGCAGGGAUGGAGGGGCUUCUCACCAUGGCACUGAUGACCCUGGUGACGUAGAUGGGGUUGUGGCGGCAGGACACGUCGGUGGCUGGGUUGUUUUGGUGACCGGGGCUUCGAUCCAGGAUGGAGAGGCAGAUGUUCAGGAUGUCCUCCUCAAACUGCUCCCCAGAGAGGCUGUGCUUAGAGGCUGCGUUCAGUCACCCAUAUUCCAGGCCCUCCCACAGCCCUCACCCGGUCAGUCACCCCAUCUGUGCAGGGCAGUUUGCUGCCCCCUCCAACCACCAGGGGCAUCACAGAGCACCCCCUAGUCUUGGAAACCCUUCCUCAAAGAGUCACCUGGGGAAUCAGAACCUCAGCCUUAAUCAUGUCUCUCCCCUGCUCAACAAUCUCCUGUGGCUCCUGACUACCCACAAUAAAGUCUGAGCUAAAAUCGGAGGCUC